rnacentral:tRNA from 1 species
GAGCUUGUAGCUCAAUGGAUUAGAGCGUAUGGCUACGAACUAUAAGGAUGGGGGUUCGAUUCCCUCCAAGCUCA